rnacentral:rRNA from 1 species
GACGAACGCUGGCGGCGUGCUUAACACAUGCAAGUCGAGCGGAGCGGCGAACGGGUGAGUAACGCGAGAGUAACUGCCCCUCUCUCUGGGAUAACAGUUGGAAACGGCUGCUAAUACCGGUUAGUGGGGGAUGGGUCCCGUCCUAUCAGCUUGUUGUUGGGGUAGUGGCCUACGAAGGCGACGACGGCUAGCCGGCCUGGGUGGGCGGUCGGCCACAUUGGGCGGAAAUACGGGACAAACUCCGACGGGAGGCAGCAGUGGGGAGUAUUGCACAAUGGGGGAAACCCUUAUGCAGCAGCGCCGCGUGCGGGAGGACGGCGUUCGGGUUGUAAACCUCUCCUUGCAAGGCUCGGGUAGGUGGAGAAGAAGCGCCGGCUAACUACGUGCCAGCAGCCGCGGUAAUUC